UUGGAGGCCAGUUUACCGUUACUGAUAAUCAUCGGACAUGGUUGCAUCUACUCCCAUUUAAUGACUUCUGGCAAUACACAGAAUAAAGGGCCAGAGAACAAAACAUACAUCAGAACAUUCAACACCUGAUAACACAAUGAUGAUUGAUAAAGCAAAAGCCUGAAACAGUAAUUACCAACUGUCCAUCCUUUGGUUGAAGUGAACCUAUUGUGUUACUACUGGUUCAUCAAAGGUUAUUGAACUCUAACCCCCUGGGUGAUUACUUUAAUUGGUGGGAUGAUUACCCUGAAGAUGUCUGUGCUGAUACUUGGUACUAGGAUGUAUGAUCUUAAUCUGGAACAUGCAUUAAAAUGCAGUAAAAGAAAGUUUCUGCAUUUGCUGCAAACACCAAGCUUUACAGCAUUUGUAAUAGUUCUGAUUGUAAAGUAGCUCAGUAACUGAAUGUGCUGGUAACUUUUGAU